UGCCCCCGGCUCUCGGGUCGUGAGGAGGCGGCAGCGCCCGGCCGAGCGCGGUGGAUGUGGCGAGAAGCUGCGAGGAGCCCAGUGGACCUGUGGGUCAGUGCCCCUCUGGUUCAGAGAAGUGUACAUCUGUUUACCAGUGAAGAAAAUGAUAUAAGGCCAAGGAGAGAUUCCAACUUGAAUGCUGUAAGUUUUAAGAUGUUCUGUGGCAGUAGAUGAAGCCAGCAGAGGAGGGGUCCAUUUGUGUGGACAGAGUUGGAGUGAGCUGUGCGUCAACAGCAGUCCCUUCAACCUUUCUUCAAUGUGGAGGGUGUACAGAUCACAAGCUACUCAGACUGAAAGAUACCUUUGCUCGAAAGGAGCUAACCAUUGCAUUAUUCCCCAGCAUUUCAAAGCAAAACUGAGUUGUUUAAGUUGUGUUUCGAUUGAUGGGUAGAACUUCACGAACUACACAACAACAAUGCAGGUGACCUGCUAUUUUACAUUCUCUAUUAUACCAUGCUAAGAGAGUUAUUCUGUAGUGAUAGAACUUCUCUUCCAGUGUCCUGACACAUCCUAGGAUUUUAACAUUGGGAAUGCUUCUCACCCAUCAAAUCUGGUUUGAAAUCCCCAGAACUAUUUGAGAAACCAGAUACAAAAUUAUGCUAUCCCAUGACAUAUGAAGAACAAUAUUUAUAUCAUGCUGUGAAUGUGGAGAUCAAGACAAAAAGAGAUGCUAUUGGAAAGAAGAAGGAGAUUAACAAGAUCAAGAUGCCAGUAAUCCAAUAAUUUUAAAUAUAAUCUAAAAAACUUCAUUUUUAAAAUGAGAGAGAUACAGACAAGAAAGAGGCAACUGCCCUGGAUGUUAGCAUGUCCAAGUGUGAUGACUAGAUCUGCUGCAGCCAUCUUGUAACCAAAAAGGAGCCAGCUUGCAAACAAAGUGAGAUGACAUAGAAGAAAAUGGAAAGAACUGGAGUCCUCGAUGAUGCUAAUGAGCUGAUAAGUUAAACCUGGAGUAUACCUACCAUGGGCUUCCUGUCAUCUAAGGUAACAGCCUUUAUUGUUUAAAACAAUGUUUCAUUGUUUUCUGUAGAGAGCCUCCUAAUUAGGGUAAGUACCUGUUAAUCCCAGUUAACCACUUAGGAUGUCCUUUCAUUCUUUUCUUUAUUUUGGUGAGGUCAUAUAUGAGAAUAACAGAAAACUGCAGACAGUUAUUUUUGUGAUCCCAACCCCUUAGAUAUGACCUUGAGUCUCUCAUUUUGAAUGAUCAUGGUUAAUGAAGUAGGAGGUAGGUGGGAAGGAUGAGACAUCUGGUGAUGGAGGUGAUCCUGGUCAGGUAAGAUGAAGUAUGAAAACUAAGCAGGAAAUAGAUGCAAAUGUAAACAGAGAGAAGGCAGUUAUUCUGAGUAGACUGUUAGAAAGCCAGUCUCAGUGACAUAUGGGCUACAUCUUUGGGGAGAGUUGUGGAACCCACAUUAUGGUAAUGACAUUACUUUGAUACAUGUUGUUCUCUCAAGAGGAGAAAUCAAUAUUCAUGGAAUAUCAGAGGGUUUUUGUCAUACUUGUUUUCUUCAGAAACAGACCAGGUUUGAUAUAUCUCAUGACAUGGUGAGGUGAUCUAAAAGUGAAACUUGAUUUUAAUUUUUCCUGUAAACAUCUAAGAGGCCAUGCUCUCUUUCAGUCUGACACAAGUCCCAUAAGCUAAAAGGUGGCUUUAACAUUCAUUCUAGGGUAGUUAUCCCCCAUGACCUCUUGCCCUUUUCUAAACAUCUUCAUAUUCUGCUGUGAAUUAUAUGAGAGCUAUUUGUAUGGAUUUAAAUAGCAACUCUAACAAAUAGACUGCUCUUGCCUGAUCAUUCAAUCGUGUUUAAUUAUUCUUAAAUUUUAAGCAUUUAAAAAUUAAUUCCUGAAUUUAUUAUAUUUAAUUGAGUUUGAAGCCAUAAGUAGGAAGGAAAUAAGGAUUAGAAUAGAAAUUAAUGAAAUAGAGACUAGAAAAACAAUAAAAUCGAUGAAACCAAAAAUUGGUUCUUUGGAAAGAUCAACAAAUUGACAAAUCUUUAGCUAGAAAAAGAAAACAGAAAUCUCAAAUUACUAAAAUCAGAAAUUUAGGAGAAGAUAUUACUACUGACUUUAUAGGAGUAAAAAACAGUAUAAGAGAAUACUAUGAACAGCUGUAUGCCAACAAUUUCGAUAACCUGGAUGAAAUGGACAUAUUCAUAGAAACACAUAAAGUACCAUAACUGACUUAAGAAGAAAUAGAAAAAUCUGAAUAAACCUAUAACAAAUAAGGAGAUUGGAUCAGCAGUCAAAAAUCUCCCAACAAAGAAAAGCCCAGGACAAGAUGACUUCACUGGUGAAGUCUACAAACAUUUGAAGAAUUAACAUGAAUACUUCUCAAGCUCUUCCAAUAAAUAGAAGAGGAGAGAGAAUACUUCUUAACUCAUUCCCUGAGGUCAGCCUUAUCCUGAUACCAAAGACACCCAGACACUACAAGAAAACUACAGAUAGAUCAGUAUUCCUUGUGAAUGUAAGUUUGAAACUCCUCAAUAAAACUCUAGCAAAUAGAAUUCAGCAGUAUGUUAAAAGGAUUAUACACCACGACCAAGGGGGAUUUAUUUCAGAAAUGCAAGAGUGGCUCAACAUACCAAAUCAAUGUAACAUACCACAUUAAUAGAAUGAGGGAGGGGAACCACAUGAUCAUCUCUGCUAAUGCUGAGAAAGCAUUUGACAAAAUCCAACAUCCGUUCAUAGUAAAAACACUCAGUAAACUAGGACUAGAAGGGAACUUCUCAACAUGAUAAAGGAUAUAUAUAUAAAAAAAAAACUCACAGAGACAUCGUACUCAUGGAAAAAGACUAAAAGCUUUCCCCCUAAAAUCAGGAACAAGACAAGGAUGCCUGCUUUUGCCACUUCUAUUCAACAUAGAAUUUGGUAGUGCUGGCCAGAGUAAUUAGGCAAGAAAAAGAAAUGAAAUGUAUCCAAAUUGAAAAGGAAGAAGUAAAAGUGUCUCUAUUCACAGA